UCUGUACUUCUCAGUUCCUAAGUAGGCCGUGAACGUGCUUGUCGAAGGAUAAUCGGCUUAUUCUCGAGAUUGUUUGUGCGUUUUUUCGAAAUUAAUUAGAAAUAUAUUGUUUGGUUAAAACCGAAACAAGUGUAUCGUUACCUACAACAAUUAUUCUGUUCCAGUUGAUUUAUUCGGUACACAGAGUAUUUUGAAGCUGAGAGGUGCAAAGUACGCACUGUUUAUCAAUUCAAAUGAAGAAAGUCCUUAUGAAGGUUGAUUGGAGCGUUAGGCGGCCAUUCUUGGGGAGAAAUCCUAAACAGAUAUAAUCACUAGAGAACAAAGAAAUAUCCACAGGCAUGUUUGGUUCACGUAAAAAAAUGACAACAAGGGAUGGGUUUGCGGAUUUUAAAGAAAAUAUGCGUCGAAUUCUUCGGAGGUUUGACCAAAGUCGGAGUUCAUCUUUGAGCUGCAAUAAAGUCCUACAGUUUUCAUCACAGAAAUAUCAAUAUGUAAACAAAGGUGGAUUUAUUGAACGAACUUAAAAAUACUUCCAAUUUUAACGCAAUAUUUAUGGAUUGAUUUAUCCUUCUUGUUAUAGUUGAAUAUACAUCUUAUUUACUUCAUAUAAUAAUAAUUGUUCUUGUAUUCACUAAACAAUUAGACAAUUAUCAUUUAAAAUAUUUUAUUUAUUGAAUAACUUACGUAAUCAAAAUCAAUUACAAACAAUAUAUGUUUAUCUCAAGGUUUAUGUAUUAACGCAAAGUACAAAAUCUUUUUUGUUCUUUACUUACCUUUUAUUAAUAUUUGCGUUAAUUAUGGAUGUAUUUGUUUUUAAAAAUCAAUCCAGAUUAGAACCAGGCUCUUUCACCAAAUUUAAUAUGUUUAGGAAUAAGCAUGGUAAUUAUUUAUUUAAUUUUUUUAUUAGACAAAGAACAUCUUUAAAAAAAUCAAUUAAUCCACUUUUGGUAGUCGCACUGUCCACAAUAUUUUUUAAUCUUUGCGUUAAUUAUGAAAGUAUUUGUUUUUAACAACCAACCCAGAUUAGAACCAGGCUCCUUCACCAAAUUUAAUAUGUUUAGGAAUAAGCAUGGUAAUUAUUUAUUUAAUCUUUUAUUAGACAAAGAACAUCUUUAAAAAAAUCAAUUAAUCCACUUUUGGUAGUCGCACUGUCCACAAUAUUUUUUAAUCUUUGCGUUAAUUAUGAAAGUAUUUGUUUUUAACAACCAACCCAGAUUAGAACCAGGCUCCUUCACCAAAUUUAAUAUGUUUAGGAAUAAGCAUGGUAAUUAUUUAUUUAAUCUUUUAUUAGACAAAGAACAUCUUUAAAAAAAUCAAUUAAUCCACUUUUGGUAGUCGCACUGUCCACAAUAUUUUUUAAUCUUUGCGUUAAUUAUGAAAGUAUUUGUUUUUAACAACCAACCCAGAUUAGAACCAGGCUCCUUCACCAAAUUUAAUAUGUUUAGGAAUAAGCAUGGUAAUUAUUUAUUUAAUCUUUUAUUAGACAAAGAACAUCUUUAAAAAAAUCAAUUAAUCCACUUUUGGUAGUCGCACUGUCCACAAUAUUUUUUAAUCUUUGCGUUAAUUAUGAAAGUAUUUGUUUUUAACAACCAACCCAGAUUAGAACCAGGCUCCUUCACCAAAUUUAAUAUGUUUAGGAAUAAGCAUGGUAAUUAUUUAUUUAAUCUUUUAUUAGACAAAGAACAUCUUUAAAAAAAUCAAUUAAUCCACUUUUGGUAGUCGCACUGUCCACAAUAUUUUUUAAUCUUUGCGUUAAUUAUGAAAGUAUUUGUUUUUAACAACCAACCCAGAUUAGAACCAGGCUCCUUCACCAAAUUUAAUAUGUUUAGGAAUAAGCAUGGUAAUUAUUUAUUUAAUCUUUUAUUAGACAAAGAACAUCUUUAAAAAAAUCAAUUAAUCCACUUUUGGUAGUCGCACUGUCCACAAUAUUUUUUAAUCUUUGCGUUAAUUAUGAAAGUAUUUGUUUUUAACAACCAACCCAGAUUAGAACCAGGCUCCUUCACCAAAUUUAAUAUGUUUAGGAAUAAGCAUGGUAAUUAUUUAUUUAAUCUUUUAUUAGACAAAGAACAUCUUUAAAAAAAUCAAUUAAUCCACUUUUGGUAGUCGCACUGUCCACAAUAUUUUUUAAUCUUUGCGUUAAUUAUGAAAGUAUUUGUUUUUAACAACCAACCCAGAUUAGAACCAGGCUCCUUCACCAAAUUUAAUAUGUUUAGGAAUAAGCAUGGUAAUUAUUUAUUUAAUCUUUUAUUAGACAAAGAACAUCUUUAAAAAAAUCAAUUAAUCCACUUUUGGUAGUCGCACUGUCCACAAUAUUUUUUAAUCUUUGCGUUAAUUAUGAAAGUAUUUGUUUUUAACAACCAACCCAGAUUAGAACCAGGCUCCUUCACCAAAUUUAAUAUGUUUAGGAAUAAGCAUGGUAAUUAUUUAUUUAAUCUUUUAUUAGACAAAGAACAUCUUUAAAAAAAUCAAUUAAUCCACUUUUGGUAGUCGCACUGUCCACAAUAUUUUUUAAUCUUUGCGUUAAUUAUGAAAGUAUUUGUUUUUAACAACCAACCCAGAUUAGAACCAGGCUCCUUCACCAAAUUUAAUAUGUUUAGGAAUAAGCAUGGUAAUUAUUUAUUUAAUCUUUUAUUAGACAAAGAACAUCUUUAAAAAAAUCAAUUAAUCCACUUUUGGUAGUCGCACUGUCCACAAUAUUUUUUAAUCUUUGCGUUAAUUAUGAAAGUAUUUGUUUUUAACAACCAACCCAGAUUAGAACCAGGCUCCUUCACCAAAUUUAAUAUGUUUAGGAAUAAGCAUGGUAAUUAUUUAUUUAAUCUUUUAUUAGACAAAGAACAUCUUUAAAAAAAUCAAUUAAUCCACUUUUGGUAGUCGCACUGUCCACAAUAUUUUUUAAUCUUUGCGUUAAUUAUGAAAGUAUUUGUUUUUAACAACCAACCCAGAUUAGAACCAGGCUCCUUCACCAAAUUUAAUAUGUUUAGGAAUAAGCAUGGUAAUUAUUUAUUUAAUCUUUUAUUAGACAAAGAACAUCUUUAAAAAAAUCAAUUAAUCCACUUUUGGUAGUCGCACUGUCCACAAUAUUUUUUAAUCUUUGCGUUAAUUAUGAAAGUAUUUGUUUUUAACAACCAACCCAGAUUAGAACCAGGCUCCUUCACCAAAUUUAAUAUGUUUAGGAAUAAGCAUGGUAAUUAUUUAUUUAAUCUUUUAUUAGACAAAGAACAUCUUUAAAAAAAUCAAUUAAUCCACUUUUGGUAGUCGCACUGUCCACAAUAUUUUUUAAUCUUUGCGUUAAUUAUGAAAGUAUUUGUUUUUAACAACCAACCCAGAUUAGAACCAGGCUCCUUCACCAAAUUUAAUAUGUUUAGGAAUAAGCAUGGUAAUUAUUUAUUUAAUCUUUUAUUAGACAAAGAACAUCUUUAAAAAAAUCAAUUAAUCCACUUUUGGUAGUCGCACUGUCCACAAUAUUUUUUAAUCUUUGCGUUAAUUAUGAAAGUAUUUGUUUUUAACAACCAACCCAGAUUAGAACCAGGCUCCUUCACCAAAUUUAAUAUGUUUAGGAAUAAGCAUGGUAAUUAUUUAUUUAAUCUUUUAUUAGACAAAGAACAUCUUUAAAAAAA